rnacentral:rRNA from 1 species
AGAGUUUGAUCCUGGCUCAGGACGAACGCUGGCGGCGUGCUUAACACAUGCAAGUCGAACGGAAAGGCCCUGCUUUUGUGGGGUGCUCGAGUGGCGAACGGGUGAGUAACACGUGAGUAACCUGCCCUUGACUUUGGGAUAACUUCAGGAAACUGGGGCUAAUACCGGAUAGGAGCUCCUGCUGCAUGGUGGGGGUUGGAAAGUUUCGGCGGUUGGGGAUGGACUCGCGGCUUAUCAGCUUGUUGGUGGGGUAGUGGCUUACCAAGGCUUUGACGGGUAGCCGGCCUGAGAGGGUGACCGGCCACAUUGGGACUGAGAUACGGCCCAGACUCCUACGGGAGGCAGCAGUGGGGAAUAUUGCACAAUGGGCGGAAGCCUGAUGCAGCAACGCCGCGUGCGGGAUGACGGCCUUCGGGUUGUAAACCGCUUUCGCCUGUGACGAAGCGUGAGUGACGGUAAUGGGUAAAGAAGCACCGGCUAACUACGUGCCAGCAGCCGCGGUGAUACGUAGGGUGCGAGCGUUGUCCGGAUUUAUUGGGCGUAAAGGGCUCGUAGGUGGUUGAUCGCGUCGGAAGUGUAAUCUUGGGGCUUAACCCUGAGCGUGCUUUCGAUACGGGUUGACUGAGGAAGGUAGGGGAGAAUGAAUUCCUGGUGGAGCGGUGGAAUGCGCAGAUAUCAGGAGGAACACCAGUGGCGAAGGCGGUUCUCUGGGCCUUUCCUGACGCUGAGGAGCGAAAGCGUGGGGAGCGAACAGGCUUAGAUACCCUGGUAGUCCACGCUGUAAACGGUGGGUACUAGGUGUGGGGUCCAUUCCACGGGUUCCGUGCCGUAGCUAACGCUUUAAGUACCCCGCCUGGGGAGUACGGCCGCAAGGCUAAAACUCAAAGGAAUUGACGGGGCCCCGCACAAGCGGCGGAGCAUGCGGAUUAAUUCGAUGCAACGCGUAGAACCUUACCUGGGUUUGACAUGGAUCGGGAGUGCUCAGAGAUGGGUGUGCCUCUUUUGGGGUCGGUUCACAGGUGGUGCAUGGCUGUCGUCAGCUCGUGUCGUGAGAUGUUGGGUUAAGUCCCGCAACGAGCGCAACCCUUGUUCACUGUUGCCAGCACGUUAUGGUGGGGACUCAGUGGAGACCGCCGGGGUCAACUCGGAGGAAGGUGGGGAUGACGUCAAGUCAUCAUGCCCCUUAUGUCCAGGGCUUCACGCAUGCUACAAUGGCUGGUACAGAGAGUGGCGAGCCUGUGAGGGUGAGCGAAUCUCGGAAAGCCGGUCUCAGUUCGGAUUGGGGUCUGCAACUCGACCUCAUGAAGUCGGAGUCGCUAGUAAUCGCAGAUCAGCAACGCUGCGGUGAAUACGUUCCCGGGGCUUGUACACACCGCCCGUCAAGUCAUGAAAGUUGGUAACACCCGAAGCCGGUGGCCUAACCGUUGUGGGGGAGCCGUCGAAGGUGGGACUGGUGAUUAGGACUAAGUCGUAACAAGGUAACCAA